AGAGUUUGAUCCUGGCUCAGAUUGAACGCUGGCGGCACGCCUAACACAUGCAAGUCGAACGGUAACAGAACUAGCUUGCUAGUUGCUGACGAGUGGUGGACGGGUGAGUAAUAUAUAGGGAUCUGCCUAAUAGUGGGGGACAACGUGUGGAAACGCACGCUAAUACCGCAUACGCUCUACGGAGGAAAGUGGGGGACCUUCGGACCUCAUGCUAUUAGAUGAACCUAUAUCGGAUUAGCUUGUUGGUGAGGUAAUGGCUCACCAAGGCGACGAUCCGUAGCUGGUCUGAGAGAAUGAUCAGCCACACUGGGACUGAGACACGGCCCAGACUCCUACGGGAGGCAGCAGUGGGGAAUAUUGCACAAUGGACGAAAGUCUGAUGCAGCAAUGCCGCGUGUGUGAAGAAGGCCUUCGGGUUGUAAAGCACUUUCAGAUGUGAGGAAAAGCAGUCUAUUAAUACUAGAUUGCCGUGACGUUAACAUCAGAAGAAGGACCGGCUAACUCCGUGCCAGCAGCCGCGGUAAUACGGAGGGUCCAAGCGUUAAUCGGAAUUACUGGGCGUAAAGCGCGCGUAGGCGGAUAUUUAAGUCAGAUGUGAAAUCCCUGGGCUCAACCUAGGAACUGCAUUUGAAACUGGAUAUCUAGAGUAUGGUAGAGGUGAGUGGAAUUUCAGGUGUAGCGGUGAAAUGCGUAGAGAUCUGAAGGAACAUCAGUGGCGAAGGCGACUCACUGGGCCAUUACUGACGCUGAGGUGCGAAAGCGUGGGUAGCAAACAGGAUUAGAUACCCUGGUAGUCCACGCCCUAAACGAUGAGAACUAGAUGUCGGGAGGAUUUACCUCUCGGUGUCGCAGCUAACGCGUUAAGUUCUCCGCCUGGGGAGUACGCCGGCAACGGUAAAACUCAAAGGAAUUGACGGGGACCCGCACAAGCGGUGGGGCAUGUGGUUUAAUUCGAUGCAACGCGAAGAACCUUACCUGGCCUUGACAUGUAGUGAACUUACCAGAGAUGGUUUGGUGCCUUCGGGAACACUAACACAGGUGCUGCAUGGCUGUCGUCAGCUCGUGCCGUGAGACGUUGGGUUAAGUCCCGCAACGAGCGCAACCCCUGUCCUUAGUUGCCAUCAUUUAGUUGGGCACUCUAAGGAGACUGCCGGUGACAAACCGGAGGAAGGUGGGGAUGACGUCAAGUCAUCAUGGCCCUUAUGGCCAGGGCUACACACGUGCUACAAUGGCUAGUACAAAGGGUUGCCAACUCGCGAGAGUGAGCUAAUCCCAUAAAGCUAGUCGUAGUCCGGAUUGGAGUCUGCAACUCGACUCCAUGAAGUCGGAAUCGCUAGUAAUCGCGGAUCAGAAUGCCGCGGUGAAUACGUUCCCGGGCCUUGUACACACCGCCCGUCACACCAUGGGAGUGGGUUGCAAAAGAAGUGGGUAGACUAACCUUCGGGAGGUCGCUCACCACUUUGUGAUUCAUGACUGGGGUGAAGUCGUAACAAGGUAACC
rnacentral:rRNA from 1 species